AUACGUAGGUGACAAGCGUUAUCCGGAUUUACUGGGCGUAAAGGGCGUGUAGGCGGUCUUGCAAGUCAGAAGUGAAAUUCCUGAGCUCAACUCGGGCGCUGCUUCUGAAACUUCAGGACUUGAGUGCUGGAGGGGAUAGCGGAAUUCCUAGUGGAGCGGUAAAAUGCGCAGAUAUUAGGAAGAACACCGGUGGCGAAGGCGGCGAGCUGGACAGUAACUUACGCUGAGGCGCGAAAGCGUGGGGAGCAAACAGGAUUAGAUGCCCUGUUAGUCCACGCCGUAAACGAUGAAUACUAGGUGUAGGGGGUAUCGACUCCCUCUGUGCCGCAGUUAACACAAUAAGUAUUCCGCCUGGGGAGUACGGCCGCAAGGUUGAAACUUAAAGGAAUUGACGGGG
rnacentral:rRNA from 1 species